AAACAGGUUAUGAUGAGGACAACAAUCUUCCGGACGGGAUUACAGAGAGGGAAGCCGAAUGGCUGCAAGCUUCCUAUCAGCAAGGAUGAAUUGACCACCUCUGAACUUCGAUUGCGAACGGGGAUGUCCCAAGUAGUCAUCGACGGCUAAACGUCGUUAUCAAAACAAUGAAGUCAUUCCCGUGAUGGGGAUGAAAAGUUGGGUGGAACCGCGAGUGCAACCUCGUCCCUUCG
rnacentral:ncRNA from 1 species